UUUCCGUAGGUGAACCUGCGGAAGGAUCAUUCAUAAUAAGUGUUUUUACUGCACUUUUUAAAUAAGUACUCACCUUGUGUGCAAUGUUUGCUGUGUUGCGUCGUUCACUCGUCGCCUCCAGCACAAUACCAACUUUUUAUUUAAACAACUUUGUCUGAAGAUAUUUUGAAUAAAUAAUUCUAAAUACAACUUUCAACAACGGAUCUCUUGGCUCUC
rnacentral:misc_RNA from 1 species